rnacentral:rRNA from 1 species
UUGGGGAAGAAACUUCCUCGACCUAUUCUCAAACUUUAAAUAGGUAAGAUUUGGAGGAUACUUAGGUGAUCUUUCAAUACAUUGAAUAUCAAGUUCUUAGUGGGCCAUUUUGGUAAGCAGAACUGGCGAUGUGGGAUGAACCGAACGUUAAGUUAAAGUGCCAAAUAGUACGCUCAUGAGAUACCAUAAAAGGUGUUGGUUCAUUUUGACAGCAGGACGGUGGCCAUGGAAGUCGGAACCCGCUAAGGAGUGUGUAACAACUCACCUGCCGAAUGAACUAGCCCUGAAAAUGGAUGGCGCUUAAGCGUAUAACUUAUACUUAACCCUUACUUGAAUUAUUAUAACGAGUAAGGAGUAGGAGGGCGUAAAAGUUUCUAUUAUAUUGGCUGUUAAGCAUCUAAGCGUAAGCUUAUGUGGAGCAAACUUUAGUGUAGAUCUUGGUGGUAG